AGUAGUUUGUUGCAAAGCCUUACAGUGGAUGGUUUGGCUUGAGUGGCGACGAAGGGCGUGGCAAGCUGCGAAAAGCUCGGGGUAGCCGCAUGCAGGCAUUGAACCCGAGGUUCCCGAAUGCUCCGAAAGGAGCGCACACCCGCUGAAUUGAAAUAUCUUAGUAAGCGGAGGAAGAGAAACCAAUAGGGAUUGCGUGAUUAGUGCGAACGAAAGCGCAUCAGGGCAAACCGAAUCCUCUCUGCAAGGAGAGAAGAUAUGUGGUGUUUUGGGUUCUUCUUUUAAUCCCCGAUCGAGAGCUGAAGGCAACUGGAAAGUUGCGCCUCAGAACGUGAAAGCCGUGUAAGCGAACCGAAAGGGGAUGGGGAGAAUUCCAGAGUAGCAUAGCCUGGAUUGGCUGUGCGAAAUUGCGAGUAUUAACUUGCAACCCUAAAAUACAACUCAAGACCGAUAGCGAAUUCAGUACCGUGAGGGAAAACUGAAAAGCACCGCGAAAGCGGCGUUAAAAGUGCCUGAAAUUGUAAGGCGACAUGAAGACUCGGCCCGAAAGGCCCGAAGAGGGUACGGGGUCGUGUCGUACUUCUUGAAGCAAGAGCCAAGGAGUUCACGAGAGUGGCAAGCAUUGUGCAUAGCGAAAGCGAAAUCCCCGCAACGCGCAAGCGUGAGGGGGGGCGUCUUAACCGGCGUUAAGUCACUCUUGUGAGACCCGAAGCCAAUGCGAUCUAAGCGUGAGCAGGGUGAAGCCGCCCUUCAGGGUGGUGGAAGCCCGCAACCAGUGAUGGUCUAGCCUCUUGGGUGACUCACGUUUAGGGAUGAAAGUGCAUUCGAGCUUGGCGAUAGCGGGUUCCCUUCGAAGUGAACCGCAGUUCAGCCCGGUUGGAGAUUGUUGUUAGGUAGAGCUACCGAUUGCGAAGCACGGGGGCGAAAGCCCUCACUUUGCUAUCAAACUCCGAAGCUAACAACGUUUUAGAAGACCGGAGUUGGCGGCAUGAGUUAAGCGCGUGUCGCGAGGGCGUAAAGACGCUUACUGGAGUUAAGGCCCCUAAGAAACUGCUGAGUGUUCUACAAGACGUUUUGGUUCUUAGACAGUGGGGAGGUAGGAACAGAAGCUGCCAUCCUUUAAACAACGCGUAACAGCGGACCCAUCAAGGACUGAAGCGUUGUAAACUCUCGGGACUAAGCAGUUCGCCGAUACUUCAGAACACGCUUUGUUAAGCGUGAUUUAGUAGAGGGGCGUGCAGCUCGCGCAGAAGCAAGGCCGUGAGGUCUUGUGGAGCGGGUUGCAAUGAAGAUCUUGGUGCUAGUAGCAACUAUUCCAGGCGAGAAUCCUGGACGCCGAAAGGACUAAGGGUUUCUUGGCAACGUUAGUCGACCAAGAGUAAGUCGGUCCUAAGACUAAACGACAGUGAUGUCGAAAGGGAAACGCGUUAACAUUCGCGUACCACUUUGGUAAGUGCGGCAACGCAAGCCCGCAUCCAAACGCUUAGGGAUAGGCCCACAACACGCAUUGUUGUUAACUUGAAUACAACGGGGAAGUCUCGUAAUGAGGAGCACUCGUUGAAGCAGGGAAUGGCCUCCGCAAGGGGGUUGGGUUGAAUCCUAGAGCCCGUGAAAAUGGAGCGGGAGUGAUCCGAAGUGUCCGUACCCAGAACCAGUACAGAAGCUUUUUCUUUGGAAAAACCUUGGAAAAAACUUUACUGAAAGGUGGUCCUGGCAGAGCAAGCCAAGGCGUGGCAGGAGAACCAUAGCAAGGGAAUUCGGCAAUCUAGGCCCGUAACUUCGGAAGAAGGGCUGCCUACAUUCUUCCAUAGACUUUGUCGAUUGGGGGUUCGUAGGUCGCAGUGGCAAGGAGACAGCGACUGUUUAUCAAAAACACAAAUCAUCGCAAAACCGAAAGGUUGAGUACGAUGGUUGACGCCUGCUCACUACCAGUAUCUCAAACUCCUUUUCAAGGGAGCAAAGGACUGGCAAAGAGCGGGAGUAACUCUGACUCUCUUAAGGUAGCGUAGUACCUCGCCGCUUAAUUGGCGGCUUGCAUGAAUGGCGUAACGACUGUCUUGCUGUCCCUGCUUUGGACCUGGUGAACCUACUUCUCGGUGAACAUGCCGAGGAAUCCUAAAGGGAAACGAAGACCCCGUGGAGCUUAACCACAGCCUGUUGUUGUAAUUCGGUUGGAGAAUCAAAGUGUAAGCAGGAGCCGUUAAGCGCACUCUUCUGGGAGUGUGAUAGGCGAAAGUGUGACACUGCUAUUUUUCGACUGCAUUGCUUAUUUCGAAAGAAAGACAGCUGCAGGUGGGUGGUUUGGCUGGGGCGGCACGCCUUCGAAAAGAUAACAAAGGCGCCCAAUAUUCAGCUCAAGCGCGUCAGAAACGCGCUGUAGAGGGUCAAAGACAAAUGCUGGAUUGACUGUGAUCUUAACAAAUGAUUUUUCUUUACUAAAGAAAAAUCAAGUAAAGAAAAAUCUGUUUUAUGGGUCGCAGGUGCGAAAGCAGGGCUUAACGAACAAUGAUGCCCUUUUAAUGAGGGCUCAUUCUGACAGACAAGCUACCCCGGGGGUAAUUUCGUUUACAAUCCGCAAGCACUGGAAACAGUGGAAAGCUACUCUCAUUAGGUUUAAAACUAAUGGGAGAAUGCUUUCAAAUGAUG
rnacentral:rRNA from 1 species